rnacentral:rRNA from 1 species
AGAACGAACGCUGGCGGCAUGCCUAAUACAUGCAAGUCGAACGAACACUUCGGUGUUAGUGGCGCACGGGUGCGUAACGCGCGGGAAUCUGCCCUUGGGUUCGGAAUAACAGUUGGAAACGACUGCUAAUACCGGAUGAUAUCGAAAGAUCAAAGAUUUAUCGCCCAGGGAUGAGCCCGCGUAGGAUUAGCUAGUUGGUGAGGUAAAGGCUCACCAAGGCGACGAUCCUUAGCUGGUCUGAGAGGAUGAUCAGCCACACUGGGACUGAGACACGGCCCAGACUCCGUACGGGAGGCAGCAGUAGGGAAUAGUUGGACAAUGGGCGCAAGCCUGAUCCAGCAAGUGCCGCGUGAGUGAGUGAAGGCCGUUAAGGGUUGUAAAGUCUUCUUUUAACCCGAGUA